rnacentral:lncRNA from 1 species
UAUUUUUAUGCCCCACCUACGAUAGUAAAGGGGCAUUAUGUUUUCUGGUCUGUGCGUCCGUUCGUCCGUCCGUCCGUUCGUUCGUUCGUUCGUCCGUCUGUCCCGCUUCAGGUUAAAGUUUUUGGUCAAGGUAGUUUUUGAUGAAGUUGAAGUCCAAUCGACUUCAAACUUAGUAUACAUGUUCCCUAUGAUAUGAUCUUUUUAAUUUUUAUGCCAAAUUAGAGGGUUAACCCCAAUUUCACGGUCCACUGAACAUAGAAAAUGAUAGUGCGAGUGGGGCAUUCGUGUACUGGGGACACAUUCUUGUUACUUAU